rnacentral:sRNA from 1 species
AAGAAGGAAAUAAAACCCAAUUUGUCGUAAUAAAAGUUAGAUUCAUUUUUGUAAGGCUUUUGAUAGAGAGUGUUCCAAUUUUCUUAUUCAUGACUGAAUCUCAAUGCAAAAUAAAUAAGGUUUUUGGUCCGUUCAAGGAGUGAAGGUACUAUGUUAAACUCUAGCAAAGCAAUGAAACAACGAAAGUCCUAGAGACAAAAUAUAGUGAAGGGUAGUCACAUCAUGGAAUGCAAGGAAACACUUUACCAGGAUUUCGUCUGGCAGUGCACGAAAACAAAGAUGAUUACAUCAGUCGGUUUCUUAAAUUUUGGUGAAGUAUCUGCUGCAUUUUUACUAACUACGAAAGAUAUAUUCAAUGAGUAUGAGCUAUGAAAGUAAGGGUGGC